rnacentral:rRNA from 1 species
UACGGAGGAUUCGAGCGUUAUCCGGAUUUAUUGGGUUUAAAGGGAGCGUAGGCGGGUUGUUAAGUCAGUUGUGAAAGUUUGCGGCUCAACCGUAAAAUUGCAGUUGAUACUGGCAUCCUUGGGUACAGUAGAGGUAGGCGGAAUUCGUGGUGUAGCGGUGAAAUGCUUAGAUAUCACGAAGAACUCCGAUUGCGAAGGCAGCCUGCUGGACUGUAACUGACGCUGAUGCUCGAAAGUGUGGGUAUCAAACAGG